UUUAAUAAUAGUUUCGCAUCUGUUACACAUCCAAACGGAUUCGUUGUUAAGAGGAUCACAAGGUAAUAAAAUACCAGAACAAUAAUCAGCUGCACAGUAUAGUGCACUUAAAAAUGAUCCACAUUCCUGAAGGAUCCUUGCAUCUAUUACAUCUGCAAGAGAAAUUCUUAGUAACGCUUAAAACCUGUCUUCUUAAUGUGGUAUCCCAAAAGAGAUCGAUAUAAGUCAUUGUAAUUUCUUCCCCCGCGGAAAUGGAACGGACAGCUAUGACAUAAAGCUGUUGCUGCGAAUCAUAAUGAUGCCUUGUAUUAGAUUAAAUGAUACGACUUGCCUUUCUUAACAAUAUACAAUACGUUUGUUAUACUCAUAUUGUCAUACCUCACAAUCAUUAUUCAAGUUUUGAUGACAUUGGAAUAUAGCCAAGACAUCGCGUUGCUCAUCAUCAAGCGAAAUCGCUCUUACUGCCAAAAGUGCACGUAAUAAAUCCAUAGACCAAGUCGAACCGCAAGUUGGCCCUAAUUUUCUCAAAUAUUCACACUCAUGUUCCAUGUGUUUCUUUGAAUCCUCGCAUAUUUGAGAACAUAUAGGAAGACCGCAUCCGCGAUCGCAAGGGAAAAGAGGACAUUCGUUUUUGUAACAAGAUACGCAUAAUGGCAAAUACUUUUCGGAAUUUCGUGGUGAUAUUAAGAGAGCAUUGUCUACAAAUAUUAAUUCUCCUGCCUCGAUAUCACGAGUUGCAAAUAGUCCACGGCCUUCGAAAGAUGAAUAACCGACGGUCCAGGCCUGUGAUUCAUCGGACAAUAAUGCAUGUCUUUUUAAAUGAUUUUUCAAGACGAUCUCUGUCUUCUUUGGUUCCAUGACACUCAUGAUACGAACUUUGAAAAAGGUUGAAAAAAAUGAAUGAACAAUUCGAGUCACGGUUCUUACUCGAAGGGGUGCAAUGAAACUAAAAUCUAUAUCGCGUUUAGUGUGAUAUAACGAUUAUCAUCAUUAAAUCACACAUCUGACAAAAGUUAUUGGAAUUCU